rnacentral:rRNA from 1 species
CUCACUAUAGGGGAGUACGUGAAACCGUUCAGGGGUAAACCUGCGAAACUCGAAUGAACGAACGGAGAGAUUCAUCGUCACUCCGCGGCGUACGGCANGCGCGUUUCGAUGNUCGUCGAUCUCGGUMGGCGUGCACGACGCUCUUCCGUCGACGUCCGCGGACGGCGUGCACUUCUCUCUUAGUAAAUNACAUCGCGACCCGUUCGAUGUCGGUCUAAGCGCCGUUCGGGAGCCCCANCGGAUCCUNNUCNCGGGRUCNUKNUGGGACCGCGANNNCGGUGGCCGACCGGCCGUCGGACGGUAGUUCUGACGAAACGCGCACGCGUUUACANACGCGUCCGGCCCGACGCAAGUNCAACGUCGUAUNCUUGCGUACNCGCCYMAGYGCGGACGYNAGGUGCGGCGCGUCUGUNUGUUGCANGCCGUGNCAGUCUCGGACUGUGCGCGUCUCUGUCUGCGAUGAUUCAGUUUCGGGCACUCGCAGGACCCGUCUUGAAACACGGACCAAGGAGUCUAGCAUGUAUGCGAGUCAUUGAGAUAANNUAAAACUGAAAGGCGCAACGAAAGUGAAGGCGCGCGCUCGCCGCGCGCUCAGGGAGGAUGGAGCAUCGAUCUAGGUCGAUCUCUCGCACUCCCGAGGCGUCUCGUUUCCAAUCCGUGAAUGUAGGCGCGCUCUGAGCAUAAAUGCUGGGACCCGAAAGAUGGUGAACUAUGCCUGGUCAGCUUUA